UGGGGAAUUUUGCACAAUGGAGGAAACUCUGAUGCAGCGACGCCGCGUGAGUGAUGAAGAUCUUCGGAUUGUAAAACUCUGUCCUUAGUGAAGAUAAUGACAGUAACUAAGAAGCAAGCCCUGGCUAAAUACGUGCCAGCAGCCGCGGUAAUACGUAUGGGGCAAGCGUUGUCCGGAAUUAUUGGGCGUAAAGGGUACGUAGGCGGUUUAAUAAGUCCUAAUUAAAAGGCUAUGGCUCAACCAUAGUAUGGUUAGGAAACUGUUGAACUUGAGGAGAUGAGGGGAAAGUAGAAUUCCAUGUGUAGCGGUGAAAUGCGUAGAUAUAUGGAGGAACACCAAUGGAGAAGGCAACUUUCUGGAAUCAAACUGACGCUGAGGUACGAAGGCGUGGGGAGCAAACAGG
rnacentral:rRNA from 1 species